rnacentral:rRNA from 1 species
GACGAACGCUGGCGGCGUGCUUAGCACAUGCAAGUCGAACGAUGAAACCGGAGCUUGCUCCGGUGGAUUAGUGGCGAACGGGUGAGUAACACGUGAGUAACCUGCCCUUGACUCUGGGAUAACUGCGGGAAACGGUAGCUAAUACCGGAUACGACCCUCGGAGGCAUCUCCUGGGGGGGGAAAGAAUUUCGGUCAAGGAUGGACUCGCGGCCUAUCAGCUAGUUGGUGAGGUAAAGGCUCACCAAGGCGACGACGGGUAGCCGGCCUGAGAGGGUGACCGGCCACACUGGGACUGAGACACGGCCCAGACUCCUACGGGAGGCAGCAGUGGGGAAUAUUGCACAAUGGGCGCAAGCCUGAUGCAGCAACGCCGCGUGAGGGAUGACGGCCUUCGGGUUGUAAACCUCUUUUAGCAGGGAAGAAGCGAAAGUGACGGUACCUGCAGAAAAAGCACCGGCUAACUACGUGCCAGCAGCCGCCGUAA